GGUAGUUCAAUUGGUAGAGCGGCGGUCUCCAAAACCGCAAGUUGAGGGUUCGAGUCCUUCCCG
rnacentral:tRNA from 1 species